CAGAAUACAUAUUCUUCUCAUCUGCACGUGCCACACACACUGUAAGACUGACUGCACAAUUAGACAUAAAAUAAUCUUCAUCAAAUUUUUAAAAAAUCAUACCAACCACACUCACAGACCAGAGAGAAAGAAAAAUAGAAAUUAACACUAAGAACAUUGAUCAAAAUCAUACAAUUACUUGGAAAUUAAACAACAUGUUCCUGAAUGACUUUUGGGUAAACAAUGAAAUUAAAGCAGAAAUUAUGAAACUCUUUGAAACUAUAAAGAUACAACAUACAAGAAUCUCUGGAACACAGCUAAAGCAGUGUUAAGAGAGAAACUUAUACACUAAACAUCCACAUCAAAAAGUUAGAAAGAUCUGAAAUUGACAACCUAACAUCACAACUGGAGGAACUAGAGAAACAAGAACAAACCAACCCCAAAGCCAGCAGAAGACAAGAAAUAACCAAAAUCAGAUCCGAACUGAAGGAAACUGAGAUUUUAAAAACCCAUAUAAUAGAUCAAUAAAUUCAGAAGUUGGUUAUUUGAAAGAAUUAAUAAGAUAGAUAGACUACCAGCUAGAAGAGUAAAUAAAAAAAAGAGAAAAGGUUCAAAUAAACAAUCAGAAAAGGACAUUACCACUGAUGCCACAGAAAUACAAAAUACCCUAAGAGAAAACUACAAGCUUCUGUACAUACAAGCUAGAAAACCUAGAAGAAAUAGAUACAUUCCUGGAAAUAUACAACCUCCCAAGCUGAACCAGGAAGAAAUUGAAUCCCUGAACAGACCAAUAACGUGUUCCAAAAUUGAAUCAGUAAGAAAAUACCUACCCACCAGAAAAAUCCCAGGACCAGAUGGAUUCACAGCAAAAUUUUACUAGAUGUGUAAAGAAGAGCUUGUACCAUUCCUAUUGAAAUUAUUUUUAAAAAUUGAAGAGAAAGGACUCUUCCUGUAACUCAUUCUGUGAGGCCAACAUUAUUAUCAUAUCAAAACCUGGAAGAGAUACAGCAAAGAAAGAAAACUUCAGGCCAGUAUUCUUGAUGAAUAUAGAUAGAAAUAUUUUCAACAAAAUACUAGUAGGCAGAAUGUAGCACCACAUCAAAAAGCUAAUUCACCAUGAUCAAGUAGUCUUUAUCCUUGGGCUGCAAGGUUGGUUCAGCAUACACAAAUAAAAAACUGUGGAGAAACCUCUGCAGACGCAAACGACUCUGUCUGACAGCUUUGAAGAGAGCAGUGGAUCUCCCAACACGGAGGUUGAGAUCUGAGAAGGGACAGACUGCCUGCUCAAGUGGGUCCCUGACCCCUGAGUAGCCUAACUGGGAGACAUCACCCACUAGGGGCAGUCUGAUACCCCACACCUCACAGGGUGGAGUACACCCCUGAGAGGAAGCCUCCAAAGCAAGAAUCAGACAGGUACACUCGCUGUUCAGCAAUAUUCUAUCUUCUGCAGCCUCUGCUGCUGACACCCAGGCAAACAGGGUCUGGAGUGGACCUCAAGCAAUCUCCAACAGACCUGCAGCUGAGGGUCCUGACUGUUAGAAGGAAAACUAUCAAACAGGAAGGACACCUACACCAAAACCCCAUCAGUACGUCACCAUCAUCAUCAAAGACCAGAGGCAGAUAAAACCACAAAGAUGGGGGAAAAAGCAAGGCAGAAAAGCUGGAAAUUCAAAAAAUAAGAGCGCAUCUCCCCCGGCAAAGGAGCACAGCUCAUCGCCAGCAACAGAUCAAAGCUUGAUGGAGAAUGACUUUGACGAGAUGAGAGAAGAAGGCUUCAGUCCAUCAAACUUCUCAGAGCUAAAGGAGGAAUUACGUACGCGAAAGAAACUAAAAAUCUUGAAAAAAAGUGGAAGAAUUGAUGGCUAGAGUAAUUAAUGCAGAGAAGGUCAUAAACGAAAUGAAAGAGAUGAAAACCAUGACACGAGAAAUACGUGACAAAUGCACAAGCUUCAGUAACCGACUGGAUCAACUGGAAGAAAGAGUGUCAGCGAUUGAGGAUCAAAUGAACGAAAUGAAGCGAGAAGAGAAACCAAAAGAAAAAA
ensembl:lncRNA